CCCGAUUGAUUCUGUCGGCGGUUAUAUGCUUAUCUCAAAGGCUAAGCCAUGCAUGUCUAAGUUCAAUCAAAUGGCCAUAAAAGGUGAAACCGCGAACGGCUUUUUCUAGUGAAUUCAAUUAUAUUACUGAUCUUGAUCAUCCUAUCGUGGAGUAACUUGGGUAAUUACUAGAGGCUAAUACAUGCACCAGAGGCUUCCCGUUUUCGUCUGACGGAGCGCACUAUUGGAGUAUUAAAACAAAGUCGGGUUUCGGCCCGUCAAUUGGUGACUCUGAAUAACUAUAGCUGAUCGCAUGGUCUCGACCGGCGACAGUGUGUCUAUCAAGUGUCUGCCUUAUCAACUGUCGAUGGUAGUUUAUGUGCUACCAUGGUUGUAAGGGUAACGGAGAAUAAGGUUCGACCGGAGAGGGAGCCUGAGAAACGGCUACACAUCCAAGGAAGGCAGCAGGCGCGCAAUUACCCACUCUCUGUGCAUGAGGAGGUAGUGACGAAAAAUAACGGAAGACCAGUCUAUAUGAGCCGGUUUAUCGGAAUGGUACAAUUAACGCUUAACGAGGAUCUAUGAGAGGGCAAGUCUGUGCAGAGCCGCGGUAAAUUCCAUGUCUCAAAAGUGUAUAUCGUCAUUGCUGCGGUUAAAAAGCUCGUAGUUGGAUGCUUGCCUCAGACCUGGUCGCCACUGGGCGAGACUGGUGCUCCUGGCUAGUUCUGCUGGUUUUCCCUACGUUGCCUCAGCAUCGUCGCGUAGGGUGGCUAGCGAGUUUACUUUUGAAAAAUUAGAGUGCUUCCACGCGGGUUAUGUCUGAAUACUCGUGCAUGGCAAUAAUAGAAUAUGGAUCUCGUUUCUAUUUUGUUUGGUUUCAUGUCUGAGAAUAAUGGUUAAGAGGGACGGACGGGGGCAUUCGUUAUCGCUGCUGGAGAGGUGAAAUUCUUGGCUAGGUAGACGAGACGUCUACUGCGAAAGCAUUUGCCAAGAAUGUCUUCAUAUUAAUCAAGAACGAAAGUCAGAGGUUCGAAGGCGAUCAGAUACCCCCUAGUUCUGCCGUAAACGAUACCAAUAGCGUUCCGUCGGCGGUAAAUAUGCUUGACCGGGCAGCUUCCCGGAAACGAAAGUUUUCGGUUCGGGGGGAAGUAUGGUUGCAAAGCUGAAACUUAAAGAAAUUGACGGAAGGGCACCCAGGAGUGGAGCCUGCGCUUAAUUUGACUCAACACGGGAAAACUCACCUGGCCCGGACACCGUGAGGAUUGACAGAUUGAGAGCUCUUUCUUGAUUCGGGUGUUGGUGUGCAUGGCGUUUCUUAGUUGGUGAGUUGAUUUGUCUGUUUUAUUCCACGAUAACGAGCGAGACUCUCUAGCAAUUAAAUAGUCAUCGGAUAAACAAGUCCGAAGACUUCUAGAGGGACAAGCGGUAUUCAGUCGCGAUGAAGUGAGGCAAUAACAGGUCUGUGAUGCCCUUAGAUGUCAGGCUGCACGGCGCUAACCCUGGAAGGAAUAGUGCUGUAACCAUUUGCCGGAAAGGUAUUGGUAAGCCUUGAAAAUCUCCGUGAAUCGGGAUCGGAAUUGCAAUUAUUUCCUUGAACGAGGGAAUUCCUAGUAAGUGUGAAGUCAUCAGCUCACGUUGAUCGUCCUGCCUUUUGUACACACCACGUCGCUCCGCGGGACUGAGCGUUUAGAAAAGCGGGACUGCUGUCUUCGAGACCUUCGAGGUGGAGAUUCUUUGGUGGAAACCGCUUAAUCGCAGUGGCUUGAACCGGGCAAAAGUCGUAAACAAGGUUUCCGUAGGUGACUGCGGAAG
rnacentral:rRNA from 1 species